GUGUCAGCAGCCGCGGUAAUACGGAGGGGGCAAGCGUUACUCGGAAUUAUUGGGCGUAAAGGGCGCGUAGGCGGUCUCGUGCGUCGAGGGUGAAAUCCCCGGGCUUAACCCGGGAACUGCCUUCGAUACGGCGAGACUUGAGUCCGGGAGAGGGGAGCAGAAUUCCCAGUGUAGCGGUGAAAUGCGUAGAUAUUGGGAGGAAUACCAGUGGCGAAGGCGGCUCCCUGGACCGGUACUGACGCUGAGGCGCGAAAGCGUGGGUAGCAAACAGGAUUAGAAACCCGAGUAGUCC
rnacentral:rRNA from 1 species